UACUACCGAAGCUACGGCAUCAGUAAGGAUGGGUAGGGGAGCUUCCCAUACGGGUUGAAGCAUGACCGUAAGGACAUGUGGACAGUAUGGGAGUGAGAAUGUUGGCAUGAGUAGCGAGAUGUGGGUGGGAAUCCCACAGGCCGUAAACCCAAGGUUUCCAGGGGAAGGUUCGUCCGCCCUGGGUUAGUCGGGACCUAAGCUGAGGCCGAAAGGC
rnacentral:rRNA from 1 species